GUUCAGGACGCCAGCAGGGCCGCGGGACCCCUUUUUGUGCUGAGCCCAGAAGCUGUGAGCACUGAAACUCAGUACUUCGGCGCGGGCACCCGGCUGUCGGUGCUAGACGACCUGAGCAAGGUGACCCCACCCAAGGUGGCUGUGUUCGAGCCGUCAGCAGCAGAGAUCUCCCGGACCCAGAAGGCCACGCUCGUGUGCCUGGCCACGGGCUUCUACCCCGACCACGUGGAGCUGAGCUGGUGGGUGAACGGGAAGCAGGUCGAGACAGGGGUCAGCACGGACCCUCAGCCCCACAAGGAGGACCCCAGCCGCAACGACUCCAGCUACUGUCUGAGCAGCCGGCUGAGGGUCUCCGCCAGCUUCUGGUACAACCCUCGCAACCUCUUCCGCUGCCAAGCCUGGUUCCACGGGGUCUCGGACGAGGACGAGUGGAAGCAGGACAGGCCCAAACCCGUCACCCAGAACAUCAGUGCCGAGGUCCGGGGCCGAGCAGACUGUGGCCUCACCUCGGCGUCCUACCAGCAAGGGGUCCUGUCUGCCACCAUCCUCUAUGAGAUCCUGCUGGGGAAGGCCACCCUGUAUGCUGUGCUGGUCAGCGCCCUGGUGCUGAUGGCCAUGGUCAAGAGAAAGGAUUCCUGAAGCCAGCUUAGAGGUGGAGCCAGGAGCUUCCAGCCUGUUAUGGCCCUGAUGUGAAUUCUGCUUUUUCCAUUCCUACCCAGUGCUUCAGAAGAGCUGCUCUCAUCUCUCUACGCACCCCAGUAUCUACCCCUGUGUGCAUGCCCCCCAAACACUCAUGACCAAAAUCUCCCUAGCCCAAGGGGGACCCUGGCGGGCCUGAACGGAUUCAACCAAUAAAAAUGGCCUGAUCUGGCUUGA